AGUCGUAACAAGGUUUCCGUAGGUGAACCUGCGGAAGGAUCAUUACUGAUUUGCUUAAUUGCACCACAUGUGUUUUUCUUUGAAACAAACUUGCUUUGGCGGUGGGCCCAGCCUGCCGCCAGAGGUCUAAACUUACAACCAAUUUUUUAUCAACUUGUCACACCAGAUUAUUACUAAUAGUCAAAACUUUCAACAACGGAUCUCUUGGUUCUCGCAUCGAUGAAGAACGCAGCGAAAUGCGAUACGUAAUAUGAAUUGCAGAUAUUCGUGAAUCAUCGAAUCUUUGAACGCACAUUGCGCCCUCUGGUAUUCCGGAGGGCAUGCCUGUUUGAGCGUCGUUUCUCCCUCAAACCGCUGGGUUUGGUGUUGAGCAAUACGACUUGGGUUUGCUUGAAAGACGGUAGUGGUAAGGCGGGAUCGCUUUGACAAUGGCUUAGGUCUAACCAAAAACAUUGCUUGCGGCGGUAACGUCCACCACGUAUAUCUUCAAACUUUGACCUCAAAUCAGGUAGGACUACCCGCUGAACUUAAGCAUAUCAAUAAGCGGAGGA
rnacentral:misc_RNA from 1 species